GAGUUAAUCUGUGGUGCAAGUAGAAAUACUUAGCGAAAGCGACUACGUUAAAUGGGUAAGUACCAUGGAUUAGACCCGAAACCAGGUGAUCUUAUCAUGACCAGGUCAUUAAGGACCGAACCAGUGUUUGUGGCAAUAAACUUGGAUGAGUUGUGAUAAGCAGAGAAAGUCAAAUCUGACCUGGAGAUA
rnacentral:rRNA from 2 species